CCUACGGGAGGCAGCAGUGAGGAAUAUUGGUCAAUGGACGCAAGUCUGAACCAGCCAUGCCGCGUGCAGGAAGACGGCUCUAUGAGUUGUAAACUGCUUUUGUACGAGGGUAAACGCAGAUACGCGUAUCUGUCUGAAAGUAUCGUACGAAUAAGGAUCGGCUAACUCCGUGCCAGCAGCCGCGGUAAUACGGAGGAUUCAAGCGUUAUCCGGAUUUAGUGGGUUUAAAGGGUGCGCAGGCGGUCGGAUAAGUUAGAGGUGAAAUCCCGAGGCUCAACUUCGGAAUUGCCUCUGAUACUGUUCGGCUAGAGAGUAGUUGCGGUAGGCGGAAUGUGUGGUGUAGCGGUGAAAUGCUUAGAGAUCAUACAGAACACCGAUUGCGAAGGCAGCUUACCGGGCUACUUCUGACGUUGAGGCACGAAAGCGUGGGGAUCAAACAGGAUUAGAUACCCGUGUAGUC
rnacentral:rRNA from 1 species